rnacentral:rRNA from 1 species
GACGUAGGGCGCGAGCGUUGUCCGGAUUUAUUGGGCGUAAAGAGCGCGCAGGCGGCUUGGUAAGUCGGAUGUGAAAACCCGAGGCUCAACCUCGGGCGUGCAUCCGAAACUGCUCGGCUAGAGGUAGGUAGGGGAGAUCGGAAUUCCUGGUGUAGCGGUGAAAUGCGCAGAUAUCAGGAGGAACACCGGUGGCGAAGGCGGAUCUCUGGGCCUUACCUGACGCUCAGGCGCGAAAGCUAGGGGAGCGAACUGG